rnacentral:tRNA from 1 species
GUCUCGGUAGCGUCAGGGAUAGAGCACGGUGCCCGGAAAGCACAAGUACGGGUUCGAGUCCCGUCCAAGACU